rnacentral:rRNA from 1 species
UUGGGCGUAAGAGCUCGUAGGCGGUUUGUCGCGUCUGCUGUGAAAACUCGAGGCUCAACCUCGGGCUUGCAGUGGGUACGGGCAGACUAGAGUGCGGUAGGGGAGACUGGAAUUCCUGGUGUAGCGGUGGAAUGCGCAGAUAUCAGGAGGAACACCGAUGGCGAAGGCAGGUCUCUGGGCCGCAACUGACGCUGAGGAGCGAAAGCAUGGGGAGCGAACAGGAUUAGAUACCCUGGUAGUCCAUGCCGUAAACGUUGGGCACUAGGUGUGGGGCUCAUUCCACGAGUUCCGUGCCGCAGCAAACGCAUUAAGUGCCCCGCCUGGGGAGUACGGCCGCAAGGCUAAAACUCAAAGAAAUUGACGGGGGCCCGCACAAGCGGCGGAGCAUGCGGAUUAAUUCGAUGCAACGCGAAGAACCUUACCAAGGCUUGACAUACACCGGAAACUUCCAGAGAUGGUUGCCCCGCAAGGUCGGUGUACAGGUGGUGCAUGGUUGUCGUCAGCUCGUGUCGUGAGAUGUUGGGUUAAGUCCCGCAACGAGCGCAACCCUCGUCCUAUGUUGCCAGCACGUGAUGGUGGGGACUCAUAGGAGACUGCCGGGGUCAACUCGGAGGAAGGUGGGGAUGACGUCAAAUCAUCAUGCCCCUUAUGUCUUGGGCUUCACGCAUGCUACAAUGGCCGGUACAAAGGGCUGCGAUACCGCGAGGUGGAGCGAAUCCCAAAAAGCCGGUCUCAGUUCGGAUUGGGGUCUGCAACUCGACCCCAUGAAGUCGGAGUCGCUAGUAAUCGCAGAUCAGCAACGCUGCGGUGAAUACGUUCCCGGGCCUUGUACACACCGCCCGUCAAGUCACGAAAGUCGGUAACACCCGAAGCCGGUGGGCCAACUCGUAAGAGGGGGAGUCGUCGAAGGUGGGACUGGCGAUUGGG